rnacentral:rRNA from 1 species
UACGUAGGGAGCAAGCGUUGUCCGGAAUCAUUGGGCGUAAAGCGCGCGUAGGUGGCCUCAUAAGUCCGCUGUGAAAGUCAAAGGCUCAACCUUUGAAAGCCGGUGGAUACUGUGGGGCUAGAGUACGGAAGAGGCGAGUGGAAUUCCUGGUAUAGCGGUGGAAUGCGCAGAUAUCAGGAGGAACACCAAUAGCGAAGGCAGCUCGCUGGGACGUUACUGACACUGAGGCGCGAAAGCGUGGGGAGCGAACAGG